rnacentral:rRNA from 1 species
UACGGGGGGGGCAAGCGUUGUUCGGAAUUACUGGGCGUAAAGGGCUCGUAGGUGGCCCCAUAAGUCAGACGUGAAAUCCCUCGGCUCAACCGAGGAACUGCGUCUGAGACUGCGGGGCUUGAAUCCGGGAGAGGGAUGCGGAAUUCCAGGUGUAGCGGUGAAAUGCGUAGAUAUCGUUUGGAACGCCAAAGGCGAAAGCAGACGACUGGGGCUGAGCUGACGCUGAGACACGAAAGCCAGGGGAGCAAACGGG